GACAGGGGGUGCAAACGUUGCUCGGAAUUAUUGGGCGUAAAGCGCACGUAGGCGGUUUGUUAUGUCGGAUGUGAAAGCCCUUGGCUCAACUGAGGAAGUGCAUCCGAAACUGGCAAGCUAGAGUAUGUAAGAGGGUCGCGGAAUUCCCGGUGUAGAGGUGAAAUUCGUAGAUAUCGGGAGGAACACCGGUGGCGAAGGCGGCGACCUGGGACAAUACUGACGCUGAGGUGCGAAAGCGUGGGGAGCAAACAGG
rnacentral:rRNA from 1 species